AGAGGCUCGCGCUGGUUUGUUUGAACUGGAGUCGCGUGGUGCCCCGGUGUGUGUGUGUCUCGCGCUUGGAGUCACUCCCCCUCGCGCUGCUCUGGAUCUUUCUCCCCUCCUCUUGCGAAAGCUACUAUGGAGAGGGAGAGGUGAGAAUAUCUUUCUGUAUCCCUGUAGAGGGGCAGUACGGACAUUUCUUGUUCCUACAACCAAGUGUUUCCAUCAUACCUUUGGCUUCACAGUCUCUGAAGGACGUGCUGCCCGUGUGUUUAGUCAUGAGUCCUCCUCCGCAGGGGAAGCACAGCACACGACCCGGCUCAGGCUGGAAGGUGCCCAGCGGGCACGGCUGGCACGGACGGAAACCAUCAGCAGAGAACUGACCGGCAGGGCACUGGCCUACAACCAGAGAAAGACAUUUUGAGCAUUUAACAAAUAAAA